rnacentral:rRNA from 1 species
UACGUAGGGUGCAAGCGUUAAUCGGAAUUACUGGGCGUAAAGCGUGCGCAGGCGGUGAUGUAAGACAGGUGUGAAAUCCCCGGGCUUAACCUGGGAACUGCAUUUGUGACUGCAUGGCUAGAGUGCGGCAGAGGGGGAUGGAAUUCCGCGUGUAGCAGUGAAAUGCGUAGAUAUGCGGAGGAACACCGAUGGCGAAGGCAAUCCCCUGGGCCUGCACUGACGCUCAUGCACGAAAGCGUGGGGAGCAAACAGG